AUUGAACGCUGGCGGCAUGCUUUACACAUGCAAGUCGAACGGUAGAGGGGCAACCCUUGAGAGUGGCGAACGGGUGAGUAAUGCAUCGGAACGUGCCCAGUAGUGGGGGAUAGCCCGGCGAAAGCCGGAUUAAUACCGCAUGAGACCUGAGGGUGAAAGCGGGGGAUCGCAAGACCUCGCGCUAUUGGAGCGGCCGAUGUCAGAGUAGCUAGUUGGUGGGGUAAAGGCCUAGCAAGGCGACGAUCUGUAGCUGGUCUGAGAGGACGACCAGCCACACUGGGACUGAGACACGGCCCAGACUCCUACGGGAGGCAGCAGUGGGGAAUUUUGGACAAUGGGCGCAAGCCUGAUCCAGCCAUGCCGCGUGCGGGAAGAAGGCCUUCGGGUUGCAAACCGCUUUUGUCAGGGAAGAAAUCUUCUGGGCUAAUACCCUGGGAGGAUGACGGUACCUGAAGAAUAAGCACCGGCUAACUACGUGCCAGCCGCCGCAGUAAUAC
rnacentral:rRNA from 1 species